GGCUUAGUGGCUUAGUGGUUAGCGCGCUUGCCUUGCGCCUCCGGGGUUGGGGGUUUGAAUCCCACCUCUGCCC